rnacentral:rRNA from 1 species
UACAGAGGUCCCAAGCGUUGUUCGGAUUCACUGGGCGUAAAGGGUGCGUAGGCGGUCAUUUAAGUCUGACGUGAAAUCUCCGGGCCUAACCCGGAAACUGCGUUGGAAACUAUCUGACUAGAGGAAUGGAGGGGAGACUGGAAUACUUGGUGUAGCAGUGAAAUGCGUAGAUAUCAAGUGGAACGCCAGUGGCGAAGGCGAGUCUCUGGACAUUUCCUGACGCUGAGGCACGAAAGCCAGGGGAGCAAACGGG